rnacentral:rRNA from 1 species
UGAACGCUGGCGGCGUGCUUAACACAUGCAAAUCGAACGAAGCACUUUAUUUGAUUUCCUUCGGGACUGAUUAUUUUGUGACUGAGUGGCGGACGGGUGAGUAACGCGUGGGUAACCUGCCUUGUACAGGGGGAUAACAGUUGGAAACGGCUGCUAAUACCGCAUAAGCGCACAGCAUCGCAUGAUGCAGUGUGAAAAACUCCGGUGGUAUAAGAUGGACCCGCGUUGGAUUAGCUAGUUGGUGAGGUAACGGCCCACCAAGGCGACGAUCCAUAGCCGACCUGAGAGGGUGACCGGCCACAUUGGGACUGAGACACGGCCCAAACUCCUACGGGAGGCAGCAGUGGGGAAUAUUGCACAAUGGGCGAAAGCCUGAUGCAGCGACGCCGCGUGAGCGAAGAAGUAUUUCGGUAUGUAAAGCUCUAUCAGCAGGGAAGAUAAUGACGGUACCUGACUAAGAAGCACCGGCUAAAUACGUG